rnacentral:lncRNA from 1 species
AUAGACCUUAGGCACUCUCAAACCAACGCCGCAACAACCAAAACCAAAUGACCCUCCGUUCUUCAUCUUCUUCUUCGUUUCUGAAUACACACACACACAUACAAAACAGAGAUCGGGAAUUUCAGUCCAAAAAAAUCAAGUGAACAGUAGUGAAAACAGAUCUGGGACGAGCCAAAAACAGGGUCAAACCCUUUCUGAUUUCAAGCGAUGUUCAGCUGCCAAAGUUCCGGUGGCGAUUUGGUCUUUGUUCUGGUUUAUAUUUCGAUUUUUAUUCGCGUUUCAGGUAUGAACUUUCGAUUCGAAAUGCUGUAAUCGUUAUUGGAUGCUCUAUUACACUGAAAUAUAUAAUAAUUUUUCCUUUAUCACUCUGAAAAUUUCGUUACUCGUUUUCCUUUUCCUCUGUUUCAUUUCGUCAUUUAUAUGAUGAUUUGAGGCCUCAAUUUUGACUAUUGAUCAGUUACGUGAGGUUAUGCGGUAUUUUGAACAGUAUAUACUUUGUAUACCCAGUUGGGAAAUGCUUGGAUAUUUGUGUUUUCUUGUUUGUCUUUCAAUUUAGUGUCGUUUCUAUUUGGUUUAAUUAUAGUAUGCUUUUGUGAGUCUUAACGAAAUGUGGAUCCCGUUGUGUUGUUCUCUUAAUCGGGUUCUGUGGGUCUAAUAUAGAAUUCAAGAAUUAAUACGUAAUAUGGUUAUUGGUUGAUAUAAAAGGGUUAAUAAAUUUUUCCAAUAUUAAUUAGGAUGACACUUUGAAAUGAUUUAGAGUUACCCUCCUUUUGAUGAGGUAUCGUUGUUGCUAAUAGUCUAAAUUUCAUUUGCAAGUGAUUCUAAGGGAUGAAAAAUGUUCUUUCCUGUAGCUUAAGUGCGACAGAGCUGAGCGUUGCAUCAAAGUUUUGGGCUCGGUUCUGAGUUUCCGUGAUCUUGCAUAGCUCAGUUAAAGACCAUAUCUUGUAAUCAAAUCUCGAGUUAAUUUAGGAAUUACGUCAUGAAUCUCGUAGUUUGAUUUAGGCACAUAAUUAAACUAUUACAACUACGGGUACGAUUCUCGUGACGUGGUUGGGGUACUUGUUUUUUUUUUUAAAUUAAAUAAAUAGGAAUAUCUUUAGUUUGCCUUCAAAAGUAUAUAUACAAACCUUCUUCUUUAAAAUAAUUUGAGAUGCGCCAUACGCAAAUAAAAUUCAUAACAUAUGGCCCUCACAUAAAUACAAAGCCAGUUUAGAAAAUGCUCCGAACUCUCGUAGCUUUCUUUAGGAGCGUUAAUUAUAUAAUUGUCAUAGCUACGGGUACGGUUCCCGUGACGUAGUUGUGACGCUUAACCACUAAAAUUCGGGGGUACAUUUAUGUGACCCGACCACAAUUUAAUCUUGUUAAUAAAAUAAACAUGUUGUGGAUCGUGGGUACGGUUCCCGUGAUAUAAUUUGCAACGUGUAAUCAAAUAAUUAAUUGUAUAAUAAUUGGAUUAUUAAAAGCGGUUCUUAAAAAAGAGUUUUAAAAUGCACAUAGGUUUCAAAGAUGUUUUAAAAUCAGAUAAAUAGGCCAAUAAUAACAGUUGAGCGACCGUGCUAGAACCACGGAACUCGAAAAUGCCUAACACCUUCUCCCAGGUUAACAGAAUUCCUUACCAGAAUUUCUGUGUUCGCGGAAUGUAAAACAGAGUCAAUCUUUCUUCGAUUCGGGAUUUUAAACCGGUGACAUGGGACACCAUAAAUUAUCCCAAGUGGCGACUCUGAAUUUUAAAUAAAUAAUCCCGUUUCGAUUGUCACUUAAAUUAGAAAAACUCCCUUAUAUCCCUUACGAGGGUAGUAAAAAAGAGGUGUGAUAGCUCUGACGACUUUGCUGGGGACAAGAACCCAGAAUCUCUGGUUCAGGGUUCAAGAAUUCAAGCUUAAAAUAAUCGUUAUAUUUGGCUUUGUUUAUUAUCUGAUUUUUUACGUGUGUGAGCCUAAUAUGCUAAAUGUCGGGUUUUUACCACUUUGAUAUUAUUUGAAUUGUAUAUAAACUGCUACGAAACCCUUUUCUUCUCAUUUCCAGGAAUGUGCACGCUGACAUGACUCCUCUUCUGUUAGUGUCAUACCUUAAAUUAGGAAGAGGCUCAGAAAAGUUACAAAGCCGGAUGGCUUUUGGUUCCCGGUACGUAGCCCCCCUCGGCUCGAGUUAUCCGCUCGGGUACACAAGUCUAGAACAACAUACCCAGGUUUUGAACUUAUAAUAACUCAGCCUCAUGCCGGAUCCCUAGUAGGAACGUUUGUUUGCAUCAUGUGCAUCUGACUUUGGGGACUCAACACAGGGGCUAGGUCCGUCUAGGACAGGUGUGCCCAAAAAUAAAAGACCAUCCUGAUGCAUCCUAUGUGCUACAUGUUACAAUUUUCAAGGGUAAAAGGGUCAUUUGGCGGAUCAAUGAUAGAUGAGGGCAAAUGAAAAAGAAAAAAAAAGAGAAAAAGAGGGUGAAGUGUGAAAAAUAAAGCAAGUAGGGCCCGAUUAUAUUUUCUGUCACAUUUUUGUUAAGGAAAAAAAAAAGCAUGAAAAGUCAAAAAAAGAUUUUGCACUUUUUCAUCAUUUUCCGAAAAUAAAAAAAAAACCAAAAAAANNNNNNNNNNNNNNNNNNNNNNNNNNNNNNNNNNNNNNNNNNNNNNNNNNNNNNNNNNNNNNNNNNNNNNNNNNNNNNNNNNNNNNNNNNNNNNNNNNNNNNNNNNNNNNNNNNNNNNNNNNNNNNNNNNNNNNNNNNNNNNNNNNNNNNNNNNNNNNNNNNNNNNNNNNNNNNNNNNNNNNNNNNNNNNNNNNNNNNNNNNNNNNNNNNNNNNNNNNNNNNNNNNNNNNNNNNNNNNNNNNNNNNNNNNNNNNNNNNNNNNNNNNNNNNNNNNNNNNNNNNNNNNNNNNNNNNNNNNNNNNNNNNNNNNNNNNNNNNNNNNNNNNNNNNNNNNNNNNNNNNNNNNNNNNNNNNNNNNNNNNNNNNNNNNNNNNNNNNNNNNNNNNNNNNNNNNNNNNNNNNNNNNNNNNNNNNNNNNNNNNNNNNNNNNNNNNNNNNNNNNNNNNNNNNNNNNNNNNNNNNNNNNNNNNNNNNNNNNNNNNNNNNNNNNNNNNNNNNNNNNNNNNNNNNNNNNNNNNNNNNNNNNNNNNNNNNNNNNNNNNNNNNNNNUUAUGUCGUCUUUUACUUUCUAGUUUUGUACAAUAAUGUCGAGUCUUUGUUAUUCUACUUUCUACCUUUUAUUUAAAAAAGUGUGCUGUAACUCAAAAAUUCAAAAAAGAAGAAGAGAUUUCGCGUUUUAUAUUUCUAUUAGAAGUUUUUUUGAGAAUAUUAAUUCUUUCAACGUGGUUUUCCUUUAGGAAAUUAAUUUCUAGAACUCAAAAUAAAAAAAAUGACAGUUAUAUUUCCUUUUAGUACAUUAAGACUAAAAAUUCAAAAAAAAAAAGAGAAUUUUCUUUUAGUACCUCUUUAAAAGUUUUCUUUAAGAUUUUAGUUCCAAAAAUCCAAAAAAGAUUUUCUUUUGAGGUUCUUCUUUGGGAAAUUAACAAAAAAUGAAAAAAAAUUCUUUUUAUUUCUGCUAGAAUUUUAGGAUAUUGUACAUAGAAGAAAAAAAUGUACUUUAUCUUUGGUUUAUUUUCAGAGUUUCUCCCUUAGGUAAUCAAAUUAAAUCCAAAAACAUUUGUUUUUAUUUUUUUCAUUUCUUGGUUCGAAAUCUUUCUUUCAGGAUAUCAAACGAAAAUCAAAAUAUUUUUCUUUGGUUCAUCCUUUAGGUUUCCUAUCUAAGAAACAAGAAUCAAAAAAUAUUUCUCUCUUCUAAUGGGCUUUCCUUAAUAAUUUCUCAUCAGAGUAUUCAUUAAGGUAAAAAAAUGGGAACGUUAGUUUGUUUACUUUAUUCCUGAUCUUCCCGAACUACGCAAAGAUCUGAUUCAUGCGGCGUCAUGAUACGUAGGCAACCUACCUAGGGUUCGAUCGAAUCAUUUUUCUUUUUAUUAAAACAAAAGAAAAAAAAAGGAAAAAAAAGGUGAAAUUAUGGGAUGUGAGAAAUGAGAGGAAAGAAAAGAGCGAUAAUCUGAAUAAAAAGGAAGGAAAAUGAGCAAGCAAGUGCUAGAAAAGCAAAGAAAAGAGAGGAUUGAGAUGAACAAAUUGGGAUGAUGCCAACUGACCUUCGUACCCUCGGAGUCAUUUUAGAACCAAUAACUCUGGCUAGGUGCAUUGCACAUAAAGUGAGAUUAUCUUAUGUUAAAUACCCUAACGGUAAUGUGAUGACUUCAUUUUUUUUCCUUUUGUUAUCUUCAUUAUAGCAGAAAGGUGGUUAGUUUGUGGUUCUUAAAGUGGUAACUCUUCUCUACAACAUAAAGUUGAAAGGCAAUGACAGAUGGCAACAGAACUGAGUUGGUUGAUACGGGCGCCCAAAAGCAAUUGGUUGAAUAAGACAAUGGGUUGGUUGAAGAGGUGAGGAUGUUAAGACAACACAUGACAGACAUGAAUCGGGCUUGGAUGACUGGGAAAGCACCACCAUCGCCACCACUUACCUUCCUAGAUGCUACCCUUACCAAACUCCAGACAUAGUGCCAGAUGAUUCCCCAUACUCUCCAGAUUUUCUCGCUUAUCACAACCUUCCCAAUCACCCUAGUAGAUCCAUCACUCGUCCUCCAAUUACCUUUCCCCAAAAUUGCCCUCCUGUCAUAUCCACUAUCCCCAACAAUGAAUACCCACUCAAAGCUCAUGAUGCCUAAUACUACCCCUCAGAGGUUGCCCACAAAGUUCUUGACUCAUACAAGCAGAGCCCUCGGAAUGAGCCUCAUGCUGAAAAUGAAAAGGUCAUAAGAAAAGGAGGGCGAGAUGAAAUAUCCAGGAAGCUGAAAGGUAUAGAACAGUCCUUAAAGAGCAUGUAAGGGAUGAGAUAUCAGAUUCAUAUGUUCCCUGAUGUUCAUCUGUCUGUGGGGUUUUAAGUGCCAAAGUUCAAUUUGUAUGAGGGGCGUGGAGAUCCGGUAUCCUAUCUGAGGGGUUAUUGCAGGGAAAUGAGAAGUGUUGGCGAGGAAGAUGAUUUGUUGAUGGCGUAUUUCAGUGAGAUCUUGAUGGGGCAGCUUUGGAAUGACAUAAUCGUCAAGAUGUCGGUAAGUGACAUACAUUGGGCGACAUGGCUCAAGAUUUUGUUUAACACUUUCAAUACAAAUUAGACAUUACCCCAGACCGCUCCUCCCUAUCUAAGAUGGAAAAGAAAUCGGAGGAAAGCUUUAGGGAGUUUGGGCUCAGAUGGAGGGAGCAAGUUACUCGAGUCAGUCCCCCGAUUGGUGAAGAAGAAAUGGUUGAGCUUUUCCUACAAGCCCGGGGGCCCACCUAUUUCAGUCAUUUGAUUCUGACCUUGGGUAAACCUUUCAAUGAUGUGGUAAAAAUGGGGGAGAUGGUAGAAGAGGGAAUCAAGUCAGGCAAAAUCAUGAGUUAUUCGGCAAUGAAAGAUAUUACGGAAGACAUUCAGAACAUCCCAGUAAGUUUGGGUAAAAGAAAGAGAAGUAGAAAAGAUGAUCCACUGGGCAUUCCUGCUCAACGCUUUCAGCCUCGACAUCGACCCCAUGGAUAUCCUUGUGCACCAGAUGAUCCUUCCCAAUGCUACUUCUCUCUACAGAAACCCCAAAGUCAAACAUCACUUUCCCAUUACCCUAUCCAUAAUGCACCACCAUAUGCUCCACACCCGCGAGGCCCGCGAUGGCCCGCACCACUUCCCCAAAUGUCUUACCCGCCCCCUCAAGCAUAUCAGCCACCUGCUCGCAAAAGGUUCCAACCGAGGCUAGAAUACAAACUGAAAAGACAACAGAAAAAAGAAAAGGCUUUCACUUAUAUUGGAGAAUCGUAUGCCAGUUUGUUCCAAAGGUUGAGGCAAUUGGACCUGCUGAAGCCGAUUCAGAUAAAAAUGCCAAACCCUCUGCCAAAGAAGUUUAAUUUUUCUCAAAGGUACGCAUAUUGCUCUAAUGCCCCGGGUCACAGCACAGAAAAGUGUUGGCACCUGAAAAAAGCAAUUCAGAAGCUUAUUGAUGCAGGUGACAUUAUCGUGCAAAAUCCAGAUGCAGUAGACACUAGCCAAAGUACAUCGCCUGUUCAUAAUGAGACGCAUACAGUGGGUAUGAUUUGUUUUGAAAAGGAAUAUGAGAAUUCUUCUGAGGUCCUCAGAGGUCCACGUGCUGCGAAGCUUUCAGCGCUAUCAAAGCUUGAUCUUAAAAACGAGCCGGCAAAAGGGACCCAAACGCAAUUCGCUAAAGUCAAUGUGGUGAAGACUUGUGAAGGUCCUAGUAAUGGUGAUGCGAAACCCAGUGGCUAAGAUAUUGUGCCUGGUAAUUGGAAAGACGCUCCAUUCUUGGUUAUCCCGGGGAGGAGUUGUGGUGGUUUAUUUUGUUGUCAUUUCUGUUGUUCGGAUUAUUUUUAGGGUUGUAAUCCGAAUAUUGCUUUGUGACUCGAACCCUUCUAUCCUUUUAUUUUGCCUAGUUUGUUUAGUCGUAGUAGCUCGUUUAGUGUUGUCUAGUUUUGUUCCAGGGUUGUACCCCAGUUUAUUUUGCUUGUCUUGUUGUUCAAACCCUUUCACCGUCUGUCUAAUGCAAUUUCCUGUUUUCUGUUAUCUCUGGUCAUUUUUUGUUUAGCUCUAUUCUCCUUUUAUAGUUUUUUUCUUUUCUCAUGCUGGCUCUAGUGACAUGAUAUGCAUGCAUAAUUCUAGGCCUGGUUUUAAAGUUAGUUUAAUCACGAAACAAUGAAACAAUUUUGAAGAUAAUAAGGACAUUUGAUCGAAUUAAGUAAAGGGAUUUUGAGAUCACUUAAAGCCCGAAUUGUGUGAAACUGGGGAAGAUAAUUUGGAAAGUUAAUAGGGCGACAAGAAUUCGUUAAGGGAGAGUGCAUCCCGGAUGAUUUGGAGCAAGCAACUUUGAGUUCAAGUGCAUCUAAAGUUACAAGAUAAAGUCAAGGAAGUUUUCUCCGAAUUGACGGAGGCAUGUCCCUUCUUUCUAACCCUAUCCAAAAGCCAUAUUGCAGUCCAAAAUAGACCUCCUAGAUAAUCUUUGAGAGUGCUGAGUUUAGACAUGCCCAGAGUAUAUGAUGUUUUUACCAUGGUUAAUGCUUUGUCAUCUGCAGAAUCAAAGAAAAUAAGAAGAAACGAACAAAAUGAGAGAGUCUUAUUGGUGAAAACCUUCACAGGCACCAUAGGGCGAUGGUGAGUUGAGAGAAGGAACAAAAUGAGAGAGGCUUGAUGGUGAAAACCCUUCGGGCCCCACAAGUCGAAUAGGAAUCGAGAAUCAGAUAGAAUAAUCGGAGCAUUGAAGCCCAGUUUCACGGCGAAAAGGUACAACAAGAGUUGAACAUUAGACUUUCUUGAUAGAUUAGGUCAUUAAUACAAAAAUGCAUGUCAUGGUCAUUAGAGUUGGUAUCCACAUCCGAUAAGUUUCUACUUUGUAAUUUUCUUGUUAGGAAUGAUCCUUCCAUUGUCCUUUACUCUGUUCCUUUGUCUUGUUUACUUCCUCUUCCUGAGUCUGUUUGGUCGGAACAUAUGAGAAAUGACUACAAAAUUUGCUACCAGCUUUCCAAUUGCACAAACGGAAUAUGUCUGGCACAUCAAAGUGGCAUAAGUCAAAAAAAGAACAGUAGACGCACUGAGUUGGCAACACUCAACGUGUUUUGGAUUCAUGUAAAAUACAAAGGUUCUAUAUGGGUCAAUUUAUGAGCAAUGCAAUAGAUAGAGGGUAUUGGGUUUAAACGGAUCAGAGGUACUUUCUGUGAUAAGGUUGACAGAGAAAAUGGUUAACCAAUGACAAGCAAGGUCUUCCAAGCGGAAAUCAAAGUUAUCAUGGCAAGUGAAGGGGCAAUAGACCUCAAGGCCAAGGCCAGUGGGUUAAGUUAGGAAAGAACAGCAUGCGCACUAAGUGGGUGGCAAUUGACGUGCUUUGGGAUUCUUAUGAAACACAAAGGCUCAGUAUAUGUCAAUGCCUAAGCACAAUGCAAUAGAUGAAUUGUAUUGGGUUUGAACGGAUCAGAGGUAUUUUCCGUGGUAAGGGUGACAGAGAAAGUGGUUAUAAACAAGCAAGGUCUUUCGAGUUGAAAUCAAAGUUAUCAUGGGAAGUGAAGGAGCAAUCGCCCUCAAAAUCAAGGCCACAAACCAACCACCAUAUUUAUAAACUCACAAGUUCUCUUUGUUUGAAACAGGCACGAAAAUUGUGUCCAAAUCAAAGCUUGGAAGUUUAAAUUUUUUCAAGUGUCGUGCUCAAAUUUUGUCAGCACAAAGACGGUUUGAGAAGUAGAAAGAAUAUUUGUUCGAUCUACAGGAACCCUCCAUGAGGAAAAGCGUGGUUUAGGGGCAAGGAAUUUUGUUCGGUCUACAGAGAUCCUUAGGAAGAGAGCGCGGCUCAGGUAAGUUCAUUCUCGGCCUCUCAGGACCAUCCUGGAUAUUGAGACUUAAUUUAAGUGUUCAGGACCCUCCUGGAUAAUGAGAUUAAUUUAAAGUUCUCAGGACCUCCUGGAUAAUGGGAUCUAGUUUUAAGUUUUAAGACCUUCAUAGAUAAGAAGAUUUAGCGUAAGCUUUACCUUUAGGAAAUAGAAUUUAGCUUUGAAGUUGUCACUCUUAAGAUGAGAUUUAAUUAUAAAUUUUCAGGACCCUCCUGGAUAAUGGGAUUUAGCUUUUAAAUUCUUAGAGCUUUCGGGUACCAUGAUUCGGUUAACACUCACAUAUGUUCCCGAUAUCAAACUGGGGCAGAAAAAUUUCUUUUUUUUUGUCUUUUGUUGUAAUCAGGUUCAAAAGGAGCGAGGUUCAAAGGAGUUCAGCAAUCAGGAGCCCACCUGAAGAACAAAGGGAAACAGUUCAAGUUUCGAGGAAAAACAGCACAAGUGUUGGUAAUCAGGAGUCCACCUAGAGAACGAAGGGAAGCAUCAAUGUUCAAAGGAAGACAUCAAUUAGGAGCCCACCUGGAGAACGAAGGGAAACAGGAAUAUUCAAAGGAAGACAGCAAUCAGGAGCCCACCCAGAGAACAAAGGGAAGGAAACAGUGGUCAAAGGAGGACGGUUCAAGUUCAACAAUCAGGCACCUACCUGGAGAAUAAGAGAAUUCACUUUAGAAUACAAUUCAAGUCAGCAACAAAAGAAGCUCGCGAAAAGAAUGCGAGUCAACAGUCCAAGGUGAUCAACAGAAGUUAGUCACAAUAAAAAAAAAAGAGAAAGGCAAGAAGUGAAUCCAGAUGCAGAAGUUGAUGAAAAUGUGAGCUACUCAAGACAUGACUGAAGUCACAAGCAUGGUGUGGUGUCCGGGUUUGGUCCAAAAAGCUGAAAAGAAUGAACUAGCACCUACAGCUAGCAAGCGUCAAGGUUCAAAUCCAAAGUCUGCAUGAAGAACCAUUUAAGACUCAAGAUCAAGUUUAAGAAGAUUAUAGAUAUGAAUCUUGUAACUCAUAGUUGACAGGCUUAGUUAGUCUUUUUUAUUUCUUUUGAUUUUGGUGAAAUAACAGGACCACGGACCGGAACCUCGACGAAACGACACCUCGACUGGCUCUCUACCUCGGCAUACUCCAUCAUCUCACUCACUUCUGAACUACACGUGGCCUGAUUCCUUUAUAGCCAAGGAUAUGUAGACAGCUCAGAUACCAGGGCUCGGUCACAUUCCCCUUUUCUCUUAGUUUUAGUUUCUCCAAAUAAGGCUCGGGUCAAAAAGCAUGUCUAGUCGUUCUUUGUCUGAAAACUGUUCGCGUUUCCAGUCAAAAAGGGGCAGGUGUAGACAUGUGAUUUUCGACCCUCCCCAAUUUUUUUUCAUAUUUUAGCACGUAAAUAUUUAAUUUAGGCCUAAUAUAGCUAUUUCAACUCAUUUUUACUCUUUUACUUUAUUUUAUUACAAGAAAAUAAAAAUUACAAAAUAAUAGUUUCAUUAAUAUUUGUAGUCAUUUUUAAUCUUGAAAAAUACCCAAAAAUAGUUUUGUUUUAACUGUCAGUCUUAUUUUAAUAGUUAUUUUACUUAAGUAGGAUAAAUUAAUAAAUAAGGUCGCAUUUUUAAUCUCGUUCGUGGGGAAAGAAUAAAUUUUGGACUCGAGCAACCUAUUUUUAGGCCUAAUUUUCGGACCUAGCCCAUAAUUCCCAAGCCCAUUCCCUGAGCCCAAUAACCUUAACAUCUUUAUUAAAACCUAGGGACCUAAUACACAAAAGACCUAGGGAUUAAUUAGCAAAAUACAAGAAAUAACCUAAACCUAGACCUAUACUAUGGAGGGCUCCGCUGUUUUGACACAAAAAAAAAGAGAAAGGGACCUUCGAUCAUCAUCUUCUUCAGGAGACAAAAUUAAAAACAGGCCUUAGGCACUCUCAAACCAAUGCCGCAGCAACCAAAACCAAACGACCCUCUGUUCUUCAAUUUCUUCUUCGUUUUUGAAUACACACAUACAUACAAAACAAAGAUGGGGAAUUUCGGUCCAAAAAAAUUGAGUGAACAGUAGUGAAAACAGAUCUGGGACGAGCCAAAAACAGGGUCAAACCCUUUCCGAUUUCAAGCGAUGUUCAGCUGCCGAAGUUCCGGUGGUGAUUUGGUCAUUGUUAUGGUUUAUAUUUCGACUUUUAUUCGCGUUUCAGGUAUGAACUUUCGAUUCGAAAUGCUGUAAUCGUCAUUGGAUGCUCUAUUACACUGAAAUAUAUAAUAAUUUUUCCUUUAUCACUCUGAUACUCGUUUUCCUUUUCCUCUGUUUCAUUUCGUCAUUUAUGUGAUGAUUUGAGGCCUCAAUUUUGACUAUUGAUCAGUUACGUGAGGUUAUGCGGUAUUUUGAACAGUAUAUACUUUGUAUACCCAGUUGGGAAAUGCUUGGAUAUUUGUGUUUUCUUGUUUGUCUUUCAAUUUAGUGUCGUUUCUAUUUGGUUUAAUUAUAGUAUGCUUUUGUGAGUCUUAACGAAAUGUGGAUCCCGUUGUGUUGUUCUCUUAAUCGGGUUCUGUGGGUCUAAUAUAGAAUUCAAGAAUUAAUACGUAAUAUGGUUAUUGGUUGAUAUAAAAGGGUUAAUAAAUUUUUCCAAUAUUAAUUAGGAUGACACUUUGAAAUGAUUUAGAGUUACCCUCCUUUUGAUGAGGUAUCGUUGUUGCUAAUAGUCUAAAUUUCAUUUGCAAGUGAUUCUAAGGGAUGAAAAAUGUUCUUUCCUGUAGCUUAAGUGCGACAGAGCUGAGCGUUGCAUCAAAGUUUUGGGCUCGGUUCUGAGUUUCCGUGAUCUUGCAUAGCUCAGUUAAAGACCAUAUCUUGUAAUCAAAUCUCGAGUUAAUUUAGGAAUUACGUCAUGAAUCU